rnacentral:rRNA from 1 species
GAUGAACGCUAGCGGGAGGCCUAACACAUGCAAGCCGAGCGGUAUUGUUUCUUCGGAAAUGAGAGAGCGGCGUACGGGUGCGGAACACGUGUGCAACCUGCCUUUAUCUGGGGGAUAGCCUUUCGAAAGGAAGAUUAAUACUCCAUAAUAUAUUGAACGGCAUCGUUUAAUAUUGAAAGCUCCUGCGGAUAGAGAUGGGCACGCGCAAGAUUAGCUAGUUGGUGAGGUAACGGCUCACCAAGGCAAUGAUCUUUAGGGGGCCUGAGAGGGUGAUCCCCCACACUGGUACCGAGACACGGACCAGACUCCUACGGGAGGCAGCAGUGAGGAAUAUUGGUCAAUGGGUGCAAGCCUGAACCAGCCAUCCCGCGUGAAGGACGACUGCCCUAUGGGUUGUAAACUUCUUUUGUAUAGGGAUAAACCUUUCCACGUGUGGAAAGCUGAAGGUACUAUACGAAUAAGCACCGGCUAACUCCGUGCCAGCCGCCGCAGUAA